GUGGGGAAUUUUGGACAAUGGGCGCAAGCCUGAUCCAGCAAUGCCGCGUGCAGGAAGAAGGCCUUCGGGUUGUAAACUGCUUUUGUACGGAACGAAACGGUCCGGGUUAAUACCCUGGGCUAAUGACGGUACCGUAAGAAUAAGCACCGGCUAACUACGUGCCAGCAGCCGCGGUAAUACGUAGGGUGCAAGCGUUAAUCGGAAUUACUGGGCGUAAAGCGUGCGCAGGCGGUGUUGUAAGACAGGCGUGAAAUCCCCGGGCUCAACCUGGGAAUUGCGCUUGUGACUGCAAGGCUGUAGUGCGGCAGAGGGGGAUGGAAUUCCGCGUGUAGCGGUGAAAUGCGUAGAUAUGCGGAGGAACACCGAUGGCGAAGGCAAUCCCCUGGGCCUGCACUGACGCUCAUGCACGAAAGCGUGGGGAGCAAACAGGAUUAGAAACCCUGGUAGUCC
rnacentral:rRNA from 1 species